rnacentral:rRNA from 1 species
AACGAAAGCUGGCGGCAGGCUUAACACAUGCCAGUCGAGCGAGACCUUCGGGUCUAGCGGCGGACGGGUGAGUAACGCGUGGGAACGUGCCCUUCUCUACGGAAUAGCCCCGGGAAACUGGGAGUAAUACCGUAUACGCCCUUUGGGGGAAAGAUUUAUCGGAGAAGGAUCGGCCCGCGUUGGAUUAGGUAGUUGGUGGGGUAAUGGCCCACCAAGCCGACGAUCCAUAGCUGGUUUGAGAGGAUGAUCAGCCACACUGGGACUGAGACACGGCCCAGACUCCUACGGGAGGCAGCAGUGGGGAAUCUUAGACAAUGGGGGCAACCCUGAUCUAGCCAUGCCGCGUGAGUGAUGAAGGCCUUAGGGUUGUAAAGCUCUUUCAGCUGGGAAGAUAAUGACGGUACCAGCAGAAGAAGCCCCGGCUAACUCCGUG